GUGGUAACGAGAACAGAGGAAAAUUUCUGAUGACCACAACACCACAAUUGAUUUCUUGCCAUUUUCCAGCUCAAAACGCAUGUUCGAACCUCUACUAUCAUCUUAGAAAGUAUUUGGUGUAAAUGAGCCCUUUCUACCACUUCAAGGACCUUUACUUCUUAACUUAACUUGAGUUCAAGUUAUCCGACUAAGUUUGGAAAGUAUUUGACUAAGUAUCUGAUGAAGAAGCGGAUGAUGACAUGGAUAUGACGUACAAUUAUUACAUUUUAUAUGUUAGGUAGUUUUAUGACAUGUUUGUGAAUUGUGACUUAAAACGAACCCGGAUUGUGA
rnacentral:lncRNA from 1 species